rnacentral:rRNA from 1 species
CCGGACGGUAGUGGCGGACGGGUGAGUAACGCGUGGGAACCUGCCCUUGAGUGGGGAACAACUGCUGGAAACGGCAGCUAAUACCGCAUACGCCCCGAGGGCUUCGGUCUUUGGGGGAAAGCUUUAUGCGCUCAAGGAGGGUCCCGCGUCCGAUUAGCUAGUUGGCGGGGUAACGGCCCACCAAGGCUUCGAUCGGUAGCUGGUCUGAGAGGAUGAUCAGCCACACUGGGACUGAGACACGGCCCAG